UGCAUGCAUGACUGUAAGUCGCUUUGUAUAAAGCAUCUGCUAAAUAGCAUAAU
rfam:Salmo salar isolate Sally breed double haploid chromosome ssa02, whole genome shotgun sequence.